rnacentral:rRNA from 1 species
GAUGAACGCUAGCGGCAGGCCUAACACAUGCAAGUCGAGGGAGAAGCCCUUUCGGGGGCCGAAACCGGCGCACGGGUGCGUAACGCGUAUGCAACCUACCUUUCACAGGGGGAUAGCCCGAAGAAAUUUGGAUUAAUACCCCAUAAUAUUAUUUGAUGGCAUCAUUUGAUAAUUAAAACUGCGGUGGUGAAAGAUGGGCAUGCGUCCUAUUAGCUAGUUGGAGUGGUAACGGCACCCCAAGGCUACGAUAGGUAGGGGUCCUGAGAGGGAGAUCCCCCACACUGGUACUGAGACAGGGACCAGACUCCUACGGGAGGCAGCAGUGAGGAAUAUUGGGAAAUGGUCGGAAGACUGAACCAGCCAUGCCGCGUGCAGGAAGAAUGCCUUAUGGGUUGUAAACUGCUUUUAGAUGGGAAGAAUAAGGCGUACGUGUACGUUGAUGACGGUACCAUAUGAAUAAGCAUCGGCUAACUCCGUG